GCCCUCGUAGCCCAACUGGCAGAGGCAGCAGACUUAAAAUCUGCUCAGUGCGGGUUCGAAUCCCGCCGGGGGCA
rnacentral:tRNA from 1 species